GUUAACGAUUUUGUAUGAAUAAAAAGCAGUAACAAUUCAACGUAACUGGAGGUGGCAAUUAGGUGUGCAGGACACAUGUGAUUAGGUGUGCAGGUCACGUGUGAUUAGGUGUGCAGGACACGUGUGAUUAGGUGUGCAGGACACGUGUGAUUAGGUGUGCAGGACACGUGUGAUUAGGUGUGCAGGACACGUGUGAUUAGGUGUGCAGGACACGUGUGAUUAGGUGUGCAGGACACGUGUGAUUAGGUGUGCAGGACACGUGUGAUUAGGUGUGCAGGACACGUGUGAUUAGGUGUGCAGGAUACGUGUGAUUAGGUGUGCAGGAUACGUGUGAUUAGGUGUGCAGGACACGUGUGAUUAGGUGUGCAGGACACGUGUGAUUAGGUGUGCAGGACACGUGUGAUUAGGUGUGCAGGAUACGUGUGAUUAGGUGUGCAGGAUACGUGUGAU